AAUAAAGUGCCUGAUUAAAGGACUAUUUUGAUAGAAUAGAUAAUGUAAAUUUUUACCUUUAUUA
rnacentral:tRNA from 1 species